rnacentral:tRNA from 1 species
UUCUAAUAUGGCAGAUUAGUGCAAUGGAUUUAAGCCCCAUAUAUAAAGUUUUAUUUUUGCUUUUUUUAGAA